rnacentral:rRNA from 1 species
GACGAACGCUGGCGGCGUGCUUAACACAUGCAAGUCGAACGGAAAGGCCCUGCUUUUGUGGGGUGCUCGAGUGGCGAACGGGUGAGUAACACGUGAGUAACCUGCCCUUGACUUUGGGAUAACUUCAGGAAACUGGGGCUAAUACCGGAUAGGAGCUCCUGCUGCAUGGUGGGGGUUGGAAAGUUUCGGCGGUUGGGGAUGGACUCGCGGCUUAUCAGCUUGUUGGUGGGGUAGUGGCUUACCAAGGCUUUGACGGGUAGCCGGCCUGAGAGGGUGACCGGGCACAUUGGGACUGGGGAAAGGCCCAAAAUCCUACGGGGGGCAACAGUGGGGAAAAUUGCACAAAGGGGGGAAGUCUGAAGCAACAACCCCGCGGGCGGGAAGGCGGGCGUUGGGGUGUAAACCGCUUUCGCCUGGGACGAAGCGGGGGUGACGGUAAUGGGUAAAGAAGCACCGGCUAACUACGUG